GCUCGUAAGCGUUAUGACGAUGAUGCUGAUCACCAUUAAGCAAAGUCGUAUCCUACGUGGGGCGUAGUCUAGGGCCAGUGCUCGGCAAAGAAGAAACGCUGAAGAAAUGCCAUUUCAAUGACACCAAUACAACAUAGAGGAAGCCAGGCUCCAGAAGAACGGAGCUCCAUUCCCAGUCUGGCCAACAACCUUGAGGCUACAGGGAAGAAGGGAAAUACUCUACCAGGAGAAGCGGCAGAGCCUAGGGGCUAAGGCCGGAGCCUGGAUGUCAGAGGGACCCGAGUUCAAGUCCGGCUGUUUCCCUGGCCUGCUGGGUGACCUCGGUGGGUCCAGCACUAUACCCACCCGAUGAUUGGAUCGGACACCGUCCCUGACUCAGGUUCGGCUCUGAAUCAUAUGGUGACGAUGAGGAUGAUGACACAAUCUAAGUCUGGGUCCCACGUGAAGCUAAGUCUAAGUUAGUCAGGGAACAUGUCUGCCCAUUGCUGUAAUGGGCUCUCCCA